UCAGCGGAACGUGGGGUGUUAAAGCGGGUGUCCACAAUAGUGGACAUGGAAUUUUCUUAAUGAAGGCGCGGCCAGAUUUGAUUAGUUUGUCGUCAAGUACAGUAAACUUGUCGUUUUCUUUCCUACAAUGCCAACAAACACUCUCUCUCUCUCUUACAUCAUUAGUGGUCAGUGAACGUUUUGUGCUAACUUUGAUAGGAUCUCUGCCAGACACCGCAGCUCACCAGUCACCUCCACCACAAGUGUGGACCCCGCUACAGAGACCACCACCACUCAUAAGCUUGAUCUAACAGGGGCAGCAAGGGAGAGGGAGGCCUGUCUCCUUCAAGCAAACAGUACGUGGUGUAUCGGCAAGAUGAUCUAGUACAGAGUCCUACAUAGGAAUUCUACAGAGCUACCAGUUGCAAGGGAGCGCAGGGAGUGGGGAGAGAGGACUCUAUCCUUCAGGCAGAUGUUGGUGUAUCUUUUAUUGCCAUCAAACAGAUCAUCUUCCAUUAUUUCACAAGAGUUUGCAGAUGCAGCUUUCUUGCACCCACUUGAUGGCUCCUCGGAUUCCUCCCUUCACUCCCUCCGACCUUUACUACCCUGUGGGCCAGCACGUGUCAUCGCACUAGUGUUGCCAGAGUUUGUUUUGUUCUGCUCCAGUUCAUUCCCGUAUACAAGUUUUUAUUCUCUUUCUUUUCAGUUGUAAUAGAGCUUACUGUUAGACUAGGAUUACGGAAAUAAAGUAAUAAUUUAGACAACUCUUACCAUUUACUCCUCCGGGGUACCAGGGACCUCACAAAUAUAUUCCUCCUCGGACUCCUCGAAAGAGGUUAGGAACUGUUCCUCCAUAUAAUUUACAAAGCUAGAAACAGAAGAAGGAGAAGAAGAAAUAACGGAAGGGGGAGAUACUACAAGAGAAGAAGGUGGAGACAGAUCG